GUAGCUCAGCUGGAUAGAGCAUCGGCCUUCUAAGCCGGUGGUCACAGGUUCGAAUCCUGUC
rnacentral:tRNA from 2 species